UGAGGAAUAUUGCGCAAUGGGCGAAAGCCUGACGCAGCGACGCCGCGUGGAGGAUGAAGGUUUUCGGAUUGUAAACUCCUGUUAAGUGGGAAGAAACGACAAAAUAUAAUACAUUUUGUAACUGACGGUACCAUUAAAGAAAGCACCGGCUAACUUCGUGCCAGCAGCCGCGGUAAUACGAGGGGUGCAAGCGUUAUUCGGAAUUAUUGGGCGUAAAGGGUGCGUAGGCGGCGUAUUAAGUCAACUGUUAAAACCUCCAGCCUAACUGGAGAUCAGCAGUAGAUACUGGUAUGCUAGAGGAUGGAAGAGAGAAGUGGAAUUCUUGGAGUAGCGGUGGAAUGCGUAGAUCUCAAGAGGAACACCAAUGGCGAAGGCAGCUUCUUGGUCCAUAUCUGACGCUGAUGCACGAAAGCGUGGGGAGCAAAACAGGAUUAGAUAUCCUGGUAGUCCACGCCGUAAACGAUGAUCACUAGAUGUUAAUUCUGCUUGCAGAAUUAGUGUCGUAGCUAACGCGAUAAGUGAUCCGCCUGGGGGACUACGGUCGCAAGAUUAAAACUCAAAGGAAUUGACGGGGUCAUAGCUGUUUCCUG
rnacentral:rRNA from 1 species